rnacentral:misc_RNA from 1 species
GCUCUUGAACUCAAAACUUUAUAGGGGAUUGAAGUUGUAGGCCUUCAGUUUGGUAGAUUUGAUUGUGGAUUUGGAGAAAAAGAAAAAAAAGAGAGAAUAUUGAGUUUGAGAAUUGAGAGAAAAUAGUUGAGAUUUGAGAGAAAGUUGAGACUUUGAAUAUUUGAGCGACAGCAAAUGGCUAUGUAACGGCUGGUGACGGUUGCGUAAUGGCCGUGGCAGUUACAAUUUUUAAAACCCGGUUAUUUAACGGGUGUAACGGUCAUGGCAAGCCAAAAAAACCUGUAAAUAAGGGCCGUUACGUAAUGUAAUAGCCAUUUUUUGAGACCAGGACACUUAUUCCCCAUGCAGUUGUUCUAGUGGAUUCAGAAAAUUUUCUCAAUGGUAGCAAUAUUAGCCAGCAUGCAUAUGUACACAUACAAAAGCACACAAUGUUGGGGCACAAUACACGCAUUAUACAAAUAAAAAAAAAUUAACAAGAAAAAAUCACUGCUACUAUCCCCAGAGCAUUUUUAUACUAUCAAACAAAUAUCUUUUAUAUGUAAAUACAAUGGUUUUUAUGACUGGAAAACAAAUUUACAUCUAGAAGCAUGUGUUGUAACCUUGUCUCUACAAGGGUUUUUGGCAGAAUAGAAAGUGGCAAAGGUGGGAGAAAUAGAAGAAAUGGGAGAGAUUUCAGAGAGAACAAGGGAGAGGAAGAGAUGGCAUAUUCUUGUACUCAAUAGGUGGAUUGUUUCUGAUACAACUCUAAUGAAUUUAUACAAUUACAAGUUCUGUUAUCCACUCCUGAGCUUGAUUAAUUUUCCUGUGCUGCAACCCUUACUAUUGAUCCUGUGCUCCUUAUGUUGCAACAGCAUGAUGGACUAAUCUAGUGGUUAAUAAGGACUGAGUGAUGGAGCAAAUAUAAUUACUUUGCCCAAGUUAAAUACAAGCAAAGCAGCAAAAAAGAGCCAGUGGACUGGGCAAACUUGAUAAAUUUAGUGGUUUAAAGUUGAAAUAAUCUAAUUAACCAAACAAUUUUACUAAUAUUCCUAUACCUAUACAACAAGAAGAACUAAGCCUUAAUCCCAAACUAG